UACGAAGGGAGCUAGCGUUGUUCGGAAUCACUGGGCGUAAAGCGCACGUAGGCGGAUGUGUCAGUCAGGGGUGAAAUCCCGGAGCUCAACUUCGGAACUGCCUCUGAUACAGCACGUCUUGAGUCCGAGAGAGGUGGGUGGAAUUCCUAGUGUAGAGGUGAAAUUCGUAGAUAUUAGGAAGAACACCAGUGGCGGAAGGCGGCCCACUGGCUCGGUACUGACGCUGAGGCGCGAAAGCGUGGGGAGCAAACAGG
rnacentral:rRNA from 1 species